rnacentral:rRNA from 1 species
ACGUAGGUGGCAAGCGUUGUCCGGAUUUAUUGGGUUUAAAGGGUGCGUAGGCGGUUCCAUAAGUCAGUGGUGAAAUACGGCAGCUUAACUGUCGAGGUGCCAUUGAUACUGCGGAACUUGAGUACAGACGAGGUAGGCGGAAUUGACGGUGUAGCGGUGAAAUGCUUAGAUAUCGUCAAGAACACCGAUAGCGAAGGCAGCUUACUAGACUGUAACUGACGCUGAGGCACGAAAGUGUGGGGAUCAAACAGGAUUAGAUACCCUGGUAGUCCACACUGUAAACGAUGAUUACUCGAUGUUGGCGAUACACAGCCAGCGUCUUAGCAAAAGCGAUAAGUAAUCCACCUGGGGAGUACGCCCGCAAGGGUG